rnacentral:rRNA from 1 species
ACGGGAGGCAGCAGUGGGGAAUAUUGCACAAUGGGGGAAACCCUGAUGCAGCGACGCCGCGUGAGCGAAGAAGUAUUUCGGUAUGUAAAGCUCUAUCAGCAGGGAAGAUAAUGACGGUACCUGCAGAAGAAGCCACGGCUAACUACGUGCCAGCAGCCGCGGUAAUACGUAGGUGGCAAGCGUUAUCCGGAUUUAUUGGGUGUAAAGGGUGUGUAGGCGGGACUGCAAGUCAGAAGUGAAAAUUAUGGGCUCAACCCAUAACCUGCUUUUGAAACUGUGGUUCUUGAGAGUGGGAGAGGUAAACGGAAUUCCUGGUGUAGCGGUGAAAUGCGUAGAUAUCAGGAGGAACACCGGUGGCGAAGGCGGUUUACUGGACCAUUACUGACGCUGAGACACGAAAGCGUGGGGAGCAAACAGGAUUAGAUACCCUGGUA